rnacentral:rRNA from 1 species
AUUGAACGCUGGCGGCAUGCCUUACACAUGCAAGUCGAACGGCAGCGGACCUUCGGGUGCCGGCGAGUGGCGAACGGGUGAGUAAUGCAUCGGAACGUACCUUUCAGUGGGGGAUAACGUAGCGAAAGUUACGCUAAUACCGCAUAUUCUGUGAGCAGGAAAGCAGGGGAUCGCAAGACCUUGCGCUGAUUGAGCGGCCGAUGUCAGAUUAGCUAGUUGGUGAGGUAAAGGCUCUCCAAGGCGACGAUCUGUAGCGGGUCUGAGAGGAUGAUCCGCCACACUGGAACUGAGACACGGCCCAGACUCCUACGGGAGGCAGCAGUGGGGAAUUUUGGACAAUGGGGGCAACCCUGAUCCAGCAAUGCCGCGUGAGUGAAGAAGGCCUUCGGGUUGUAAAGCUCUUUUAUCAGGGAAGAAACGGUGGUAGCUAAUAUCUACUACUAAUGACGGUACCUGAAGAAUAAGCACCGGCUAACUACGUGCCAGCCGCCGCAGUAACAC